UUGACAGGACGAUCCUGUCAAUAGCCUCAGGCUAACGCGAAAUGGGUAAAGAGCACAUGUGCCGCAAAACGAUGGUGUACGUGCGCACAAGAGUCCGCGCGCCACAGUUCAAAGAAGCAAGAUGGUGGGCUCACCACCCUUGGUCGCUAAGUAUGUGAGCGUUAGGUCGUAAAAGCGUGUGGAAACGUUGUUGUUGACUGGUACGUGCUCGAUGUAGGCCAGGGAGAGCUAACUUUCGCGUAACUGUACGACAGACUUGUAGCGGCGAGUGAGUUUCGACCAUACAAUUUCAAGCAAGUUUUGUCAAGAUCAGCUACACAGUGCAAUUCUUCUGCAAAAUUAUGACGAGAAGGUCGGAAGGCAUUUGAUGUGGUGUUUCAUCCGUAUGGUGAUCGACAAGACAGCUUCUACGACUGAAGCUGUUCCCAGGGCUAAGACUGCUUUUGAGGUAUGAUGAAAGCAUCAAGAGAACAAGGUCAGCAGGAGUGGAUGUUUCCAGCCUACGCUGGGACUGGGAGCACACAACAAUGUAGCAAUAACAACACAGGGCAGUGACAUGCACUUCACCAGUAGCACAGUACUACUAUUCAGCCAGACUGAAGUCAGGGGUGAUGAAGAC